rnacentral:sRNA from 1 species
GUGCAGGAUGUCUAGGGUUCCGCGUCGCACGCACGGUCUGGUCCGAGAGAUAUCGCUGUUCGGUCAAUCCCGAACAGUACACGGCGGGGCAAAAUCCCGGGAGGC